GUGCCAGCAGCCGCGGUAAUACGGAGGGUGCGAGCGUUAAUCGGAAUUACUGGGCGUAAAGGGCGCGUAGGCGGUCGCGCAAGUCGGGUGUGAAAGCCCCGGGCUCAACCUGGGAAUUGCAUUCGAUACUGCGUAACUAGAGUCUGGUAGAGGGAAGCGGAAUUCCGCAUGUAGCGGUGAAAUGCGUAGAUAUGCGGAGGAACACCAGUGGCGAAGGCGGCUUCCUGGACCAAGACUGACGCUGAGGCGCGAAAGCGUGGGGAGCAAACAGGAUUAGAUACCCUGGUAGUCCACGCCCUAAACGAUGAGGACUAGACGUUGGGGGGAUAAAACCCUUUAGUGUCGCAGCUAACGCGUGAAGUCCUCCGCCUGGGGAGUACGGCCGCAAGGUUGAAACUUAAAGGAAUUGACGG
rnacentral:rRNA from 1 species